AGUGAACGCUGGCGGUAGGCCUAACACAUGCAAGUCGAACGGCAGCACAGUAAGAGCUUGCUCUUACGGGUGGCGAGUGGCGGACGGGUGAGGAAUACAUCGGAAUCUACUUUUUCGUGGGGGAUAACGUAGGGAAACUUACGCUAAUACAGCAUACGACCUACGGGUGAAAGCAGGGGAUCUUCGGACCUUUCGCGAUUGAAUGAGCCGAUGUCGGAUUAGCUAGUUGGCGGGGUAACGGCCCACCAAGGCGACGAUCCGUAGCUGGUCUGAGAGGAUGAUCGGCCACACUGGAACUGAGACACGGUCCAGACUCCUACGGGAGGCAGCAGUAGGGAAUAUUGGGCAAUGGGCGAAAGCCUGAUCCAGCCAUACCGCGUGGGUGAAGAAGGCCUUCGGGUUGUAAAGCCCUGUUGUUGGGAAAGAAAAGCAGCAGGUUAAUACCCCGCUGUUCUGACGGUACCCAAAGAAUAAGCACCGGCUAACUUCGUG
rnacentral:rRNA from 1 species